rnacentral:rRNA from 1 species
GGAGCAACGCCGCGUGAGUGAUGAAGGGUUUCGGCUCGUAAAACUCUGUUGUUAAAGAAGAACAAGCAUGAGAGUAACUGUUCAUGCUUUGACGGUAUUUAACCAGAAAGCCACGGCUAACUACGUGCCAGCAGCCGCGGUAAUACGUAGGUGGCAAGCGUUGUCCGGAUUUAUUGGGCGUAAAGCGAGCGCAGGCGGUUUUGUAAGUCUGCUGUGAAAGCCCUCACCUCAACUGAGGAAGUGCAGUGGAAACUACAAAACUUGAGUACAGAAGAGGAAAGUGGAACUCCAUGUGUAGCGGUGAAAUGCGUAAAUAUAUGGAAGAACACCAGUGGCGAAGGCGGCUUUCUGGUCUGUUACUGACGCUGAGGCUCGAAAGCAUGGGUAGCGAACAGGAUUAAAUACCCUGGUAGUCCAUGCCGUAAACGAUGAAUACUAGGUGUUGGAGGGUUUCCGCCCUUCAGUGCCGCAGCUAACGCAUUAAGUAUUCCGCCUGGGGAGUACGACCGCAAGGUUGAAACUCAAAGGAAUUGACGGGGGCCCGCACAAGUGGUGGAGCAU